GCCACUCCCACAAAUGUCUACGAUCGCACCUACACAUUUUUGCAUGUUUACAAUUCUAAUUUGGAACAGCCAAUCCAGUUCUUGGUAACAACUACGGUUAAACAUCGAUUGGCUGUUUAAAAUUAAGAAUUGGAAACAUGCAAAAAUAUGUAAGUGCGGUCGUAUACGUUUGUGGGAGUGGC